CAUCCCCGACCAGCCCCAAGGUCUUCCCGCUGAGCCUCGACAGCACCCCCCAAGAUGGGAACGUGGUCGUCGCAUGCCUGGUCCAGGGCUUCUUCCCCCAGGAGCCACUCAGUGUGACCUGGAGCGAAAGCGGACAGAACGUGACCGCCAGAAACUUCCCACCUAGCCAGGAUGCCUCCGGGGACCUGUACACCACGAGCAGCCAGCUGACCCUGCCGGCCACACAGUGCCCAGACGGCAAGUCCGUGACAUGCCACGUGAAGCACUACACGAAUUCCAGCCAGGAUGUGACUGUGCCCUGCCUUCCCCCACCUCCCCCAUGCUGCCACCCCCGACUGUCGCUGCACCGACCGGCCCUCGAGGACCUGCUCUUAGGUUCAGAAGCGAACCUCACGUGCACACUGACCGGCCUGAGAGAUGCCUCUGGUGCCACCUUCACCUGGACGCCCUCAAGUGGGAAGAGCGCUGUUCAAGGACCACCUGAGCGUGACCUCUGUGGCUGCUACAGCGUGUCCAGUGUCCUGCCUGGCUGUGCCCAGCCAUGGAACCAUGGGGAGACCUUCACCUGCACUGCUGCCCACCCCGAGUUGAAGACCCCACUAACCGCCAACAUCACAAAAUCCGGAAACACAUUCCGGCCCGAGGUCCACCUGCUGCCGCCGCCGUCGGAGGAGCUGGCCCUGAACGAGCUGGUGACGCUGACGUGCCUGGCACGUGGCUUCAGCCCCAAGGAUGUGCUGGUUCGCUGGCUGCAGGGGUCACAGGAGCUGCCCCGCGAGAAGUACCUGACUUGGGCAUCCCGGCAGGAGCCCAGCCAGGGCACCACCACCUACGCUGUAACCAGCAUACUGCGCGUGGCAGCUGAGGACUGGAAGAAGGGGGAGACCUUCUCCUGCAUGGUGGGCCACGAGGCCCUGCCGCUGGCCUUCACACAGAAGACCAUCGACCGCAUGGCGGGUAAACCCACCCACAUCAAUGUGUCUGUUGUCAUGGCGGAGGCGGAUGGCACCUGCUACUGA